rnacentral:tRNA from 1 species
AUUCUCUUAGUAUAAUAAAUACAACUUACUUCCAAUUAGUAGACUCUGAUAAAAAUUCAGAAGAGAGUA